rnacentral:rRNA from 1 species
CCUACGGGGGGCAGCAGUGGGGAAUAUUGGACAAUGGGGGCAACCCUGAUCCAGCCAUGCCGCGUGUGUGAAGAAGGCCCUCGGGUUGUAAAGCACUUUCAGUGAGGAAGAACGCCUGGUGGUUAAUACCCAUCAGGAAAGACAUCACUCACAGAAGAAGCACCGGCUAACUCCGUGCCAGCAGCCGCGGUAAUACGGAGGGGUGCGAGCGUUAAUCGGAAUUACUGGGCGUAAAGCGCGCGUAGGUGGCUUGAUAAGCCGGUUGUGAAAGCCCCGGGCUCAACCUGGGAAUGGCAUCCGGAACUGUCAAGCUAGAGUGCAGGAGAGGAAGGUAGAAUUCCCGGUGUAGCGGUGAAAUGCGUAGAGAUCGGGAGGAAUACCAGUGGCGAAGGCGGCCUUCUGGACUGACACUGACACUGAGGUGCGAAAGCGUGGGUAGCAAACAGGAUUAGAUACCCCUGUAGUC